GUGGGGAAUUUUGGACAAUGGGCGAAAGCCUGAUCCAGCCAUGCCGCGUGCAGGAUGAAGGCCUUCGGGUUGUAAACUGCUUUUGUACGGAACGAAACGGUCCGGGUUAAUACCCUGGGCUAAUGACGGUACCGUAAGAAUAAGCACCGGCUAACUACGUGCCAGCAGCCGCGGUAAUACGUAGGGUGCAAGCGUUAAUCGGAAUUACUGGGCGUAAAGCGUGCGCAGGCGGUUUUGUAAGACAGGCGUGAAAUCCCCGGGCUCAACCUGGGAAUUGCGCUUGUGACUGCAAGGCUGGAGUGCGGCAGAGGGGGAUGGAAUUCCGCGUGUAGCAGUGAAAUGCGUAGAUAUGCGGAGGAACACCGAUGGCGAAGGCAAUCCCCUGGGCCUGCACUGACGCUCAUGCACGAAAGCGUGGGGAGCAAACAGGAUUAGAAACCCCAGUAGUCC
rnacentral:rRNA from 1 species